UACGUAGGGGGCGAGCGUUGUCCGGAAUCAUUGGGGGUAAAGAGCGUGUUGGCGGGCUGGAAGGUCAGGUGUGAAAGCCCCGGGCUCAACCUGGGAAUUGCAUUUGAGACUGAAUAGCUAGGGUGCGGAAGAGGGAAGCGGAAUUUCCGGUGUAGCGGUGAAAUGCGUAGAUAUCGGAAGGAACACCAGUGGCGAAAGCGGCUUCCUGGUCCAGCACCGACGUUCAGGCACGAAAGCGUGGGGAGCAAACAGG
rnacentral:rRNA from 1 species